UACGUAGGGGGCAAGCGUUGUCCGGAUUUAUUGGGCGUAAAGAGCGUGUAGGCGGCUAGGUAGGUCCGUUGUGAAAACUCGAGGCUCAACCUCGAGACGCCGAUGGAAACCAUCUAGCUAGAGUCCGGAAGAGGAGAGUGGAAUUCCUGGUGUAGCGGUGAAAUGCGCAGAUAUCAGGAAGAACCCCCGUGGCUAAGGCGGCUCUCUAGGACGGUACUGGCGCUGAGACCCGAAAGCGUGGGGAGCGAACAGG
rnacentral:rRNA from 1 species